CCUGGCUGCACAGAGAUAAGCGUGUACAGCAGCUGCCCAGUGGGAUUUUACAGGUUGACAGCGCUUAGCAUGCUGCAUUUAACAGUUUCAGAGCCAACUUUUCCCAGCGAGAUGACACGAGGUGAAAAAGCUACAGGUGAGGUGCAGGUGCUGUGUCCUACAAGAAGGGGCUGCUCCUCUCUGGCCUAAGGCCUGCCUGGAUGAAGGAAGAGGUGAAGCAGGUGUGUGUGAAGGACACGACUCGUGCCACUGCUGCCUGGUGAAGUGACAAGUUGUUUGAUGAGGACUCCCUGACAACUGGCUGGCUGUGCUGCCUGUGCAGGCAGGUGUAUGUGCUGGUGUUGAGCAAGGGACAGAAAUGAAGAGUGCAGUGCAUGCAGCAGGCAAAGCUGCACAAACCCCUUUUGGAAGGAGAUGGUCACUGUCACCAGCACAGGCUCCUACAUUAGCAUCCGCUGUCCUUAGGCUUGAAUCUCUCAGGAAAU
rnacentral:lncRNA from 1 species